UUGGAGGGCAAGUCUGGUGCCAGCAGCCGCGGUAAUUCCAGCUCCAAUAGCGUAUAUUAAAGUUGUUGCAGUUAAAAAGCUCGUAGUUGAAUUUCGGGAUUAGUAGUCUGGUCGUGCCACUGGUAUGUACUGGUCUUACUGAUUUCUCCUUCCUGAAGAACCGUAAUGCCAUUAAUUUGGUGUUGCGGGGAAUCGGGACUGUUACUUUGAAAAAAUUAGAGUGUUUAAAGCAAGCUAACGCUUGAAUACAUUAGCAUGGAAUAAUGAAAUAGGACGAUCGAUCCUAUUUUGUUGGUUUCUAGGAUUGACGUAAUGAUUAAUAGGGAUAGUUGGGGGCAUUAGUAUUCAAUUGUCAGAGGUGAAAUUCUUGGAUUUAUUGAAGACUAACUACUGCGAAAGCAUUUGCCAAGGAUGUUUUCAUUAAUCAAGAACGAAAGUUAGGGGACCGAAGACGAUCAGAUACCGUCGUAGUCUUAACCAUAAACUAUGCCGACUAGGGAUCGGAUGAUGUUAAUUUUAUAAUGACUCAUUCGGCGCCUUACGGGAAAC
rnacentral:rRNA from 1 species